rnacentral:lncRNA from 1 species
GAAUCCAUAAACUUUCGAACCCAUAAAUUUCAUAAAAUUCUGAACCGCUAAACUUUUGAAUCCGUAACUUUAUAAUGUCUAAACCUGUAAACUUCCAAAUACAUAAAUCUCCGAACUCAUAAUUUAGGAAUUUUAAAUUUUUUAAACUGAAAAAUGGAAAAAAACUAGAAAUGAAAAUAUAUAUAUAUAAAAAUAUUUUUUUAUUGCGGGUAGGGGUGUUCAUGGUUCGAUUUGGACCGAUUUUUUUCUAAAAAGA